AGAACGAACGUUGGCGGCGUGGAUUAGGCAUGCAAGUCGAACGAAUCCCGUCUCUCACCCUGCCCUUUCUCUGAAGAGCGAGGGUGCGGUGAGGGACGGGGGAAGUGGCGAAAGGGGCAGUAAUGCGUGGGUAACCUACCCCGGGGACGGGGAUAGCCUUCCUAACGGAAGGGUAAUACCUGGCGAUUCGGCGAAGGGACAUCCCUAUGCCGGGAAAUGAGUUUCGCCUCGGGAGGGGCUCACGUGAUAUUAGCUAGUUGGUGAGGUAACGGCUCACCAAGGCGAAGAUGUCUAGCGGGUGUGAGAGCACGACCCGCGCCACUGGCACUGAGACACUGGCCAGACACCUACGGGUGGCUGCAGUCGAGGAUCUUUGGCAAUGGGCGCAAGCCUGACCAAGCGACGCGCGUGUGCGAAGAGCCUUCGGUUGUAAAGCACUGUCGAGGGGAGAAGCCGCAAGGUUGACCUAUCCCGUGGAGAAGCGACGGCUAAGUUCGUGCCAGCAGCCG
rnacentral:rRNA from 1 species